AUGAAGAAGAGCAUGGAUUUGAAAACGUUGUGGGAUAGAGCUUCCAAGAAAAGCAAGAUUGCCUCCACCUCGACGACAAAACCCGCACCGAUUGGAGUUGAAAGCCGGUCUCGGAACCAAGGCAGCCCUUCCCCAUCAGAUGGGCUGCAGGUGGUACCGGAGGAUGAUGAAUCUGGUGACGACGAGUCCAUUGCUUCAAAUGCUAAGCAGUUGCAGGCCGAGGCUGAGGCUCUAUAUCUGUCCCGUUUGAAAACUUCAGUCCAGUGCCUGAGGUUCAUCUUGCAGCAAGGCUUGCCAGUCCAUGGACAUCUUGAAAAUGAAGGUAAUGCAGGGAAUUUUCUUGAGCUUGUGGAUUGGCUGGCAGAGAGUGUUGAAGAAGUUAAAAGGGUGGGUCUGAAGGAUGCUCCAAGAAGCAGCGAGCUGUUGGACCAAAAGGCACAGGAGCAACUCAUCAACGCUUGUGCCGAAGAAACUACUAGGCUCAUCAUUGAAGACCUUGGUGAUGGUUAUUUCGCGGUGCUUGUUUAUGAAUCUCGCGAUGUGGAACAACAGGAACAAUUGGCCCUUUGCCUGCGUUAUGUUGGUACAAAAGGAAUGGCCGUGGAAAGGUUCCUCGGCAUCGUCGGAGUUGAAGACACUACCCCUUUGACAAUUAAAACAACAAUUCAGAAUCUUCUUACGGCACACUCUUUGAGCUUUUCUAGGGUCCGUGGGCUGGGAUAUGAUGGUGCUUGUGCCAUGAAGGGUUAUCAUAAUGCUUUGAAGAAAAUAAUUGUGGACGAGUUCCCUUCUGCUUAUUAUGUCAAUUGCUUUGCCCAUCAACUUCAGAUACGAAUGCUUGGAGUAGCUCAAGCUGAGUAUAUCAUCGAAACAUUUGAACUGGAAGAAACUGAAGCUGAAUAUGGUCUUGAUCGAGAGAGCCUGGGAACGCCCUGUGACACUCCUCGGGGAUCCCGCUAUGAAAAUGUGAUGCAUGUUAUCUCUUUAUAUCCUGCAAUUUGGGAAAUUCUCUGUACGACUGGGGAUAAGCAUAAUGGCAUAAAAUCACUACAGGCUCAACAGGUGUCUUAUGCAUUCGAGACAUUUGAGUUUGUCUUUAUAGCGCACUUGCUGCAAACUAUAUUUGAGUAUACAGAUGACUUAUGCAGUGCUUUGCAAAAGAGGGAUCAAGAUAUUGUUAAUGCUAUCAAUCUUGUUAGCAUGACAAAGAAACGGUUGCAGUUACUGCGGGAAGAUGGUGAGUGGGAAAGUUUUCUUCAGAAGGUCACCUCUUUUUGUGUGAAACAUGACAUCGAACUUGUGGACAUGGAUGGUUCGUAUGACCCGAUCGGGAGAUCUCCAAAGUUCUACGAAAAGGCCACGAAUCUUCAUUACUACCACGUUGACAUGUUUUUGGAUGUCAUUGAUAGUCAAGUUCGAGAACUUGAUGGCAUGUUUGAUGAGGUCAACAUGGAGUUACUGAUUUGCAUGGCAGCAUUCAAUCCCGCCGACUCGUUUGCUGCUUAUGAGGAGGAAAAGCAGGUUAAGCUUGCCCACUUUUAUCCCGAGGAUUUUUCACAGUCUGAGUUGUUGCAUCUUCCCUUCCAACUUUCAAACUUCGUUGAUGAUCUGCGUCUAGACGAAAGGUUUAGAGAAGUGAAGACUCUUGCGGAGCUUUCUAUCAAGCUUGUCGAAACAAGGAAGGACCGUGUUUACAAUAUUGUGUACAGGCUUCUCAGGUUGGUGCUGAUCCUUCCUGUAGCAACCGGCAGUGAUGAGAGGGACCUAUCUUCAGUGAAUUACGUGAACAAUAAGGCGGUGAACAAGCUAUCGGAGCAAUGCGCGAAUGAUUGCCUGGUUACAUGUCUUGAGCGUGAAACCUUUGAGCAGGUGAAGGACGAUGCCAUCAUAUCUCGCUUCCGAGCUGUGAAUAACCGCUAG
rnacentral:rRNA from 1 species